CCCUUAGAUGUUCUGGGCCGCACGCGCGUUACAAUGAAUCGUUCAACAGGUUUUCUUCCUGAGUCGAAAGGCUUGGGUAAUCCUUUAAAUACGGUUCGUGCUAGGGAUAGAUUUUUGCAAUUAUUAAUCUUGAACGAGGAAUAUUUAGUAAACGCAGGUCAUCAGCCUGCAUUGAUUACGUCCCUGCCCUUUGUACACACCGCCCGUCGCUCCUACCGAUUGAAUGAUCCGAUGAAUAUCAUGGAUUGAGGAUGCAAGUAGGUUCGCCUAUCUUCAUCUUCGAGAAGUGAAGUAAAUCUUAUCAUUUAGAGGAAGGAGAAGUCGUAACA
rnacentral:rRNA from 1 species